rnacentral:tRNA from 1 species
CAUUAAAUAACCUAAUUUUUAAGGUUUAGGAUUUUUAAUCCUAUAAUGUAUCAAUUUUACUUUAAUGA